GGUGCGCGUGCGCGGCGAUGGGGCGCGGUUGCUUCUUUUAUUCACUUUCUCUGCCUCUGGUUACCUGUGUCUCGGCCCUGUGGAAUCAACAAAGAAAAAACUUGCUUUUAUUGAAAUAUUUAUCACUUGUUGAGAAACCAGUCAGUAAACCUGUUCAGAAGCUAAUGUCAUCAGAAACACCAAUAGAAAGCCCAGAGGUGCCAACAGAAAAUACCAUGUCCCCUAAAGUUCCUGAUGUGGAAGAAAAGACGAAGUCCAGUGGCAGUCCAGUAGAGAGACAGGAGACAGGCUCAAACAAGGAAGAAUGCCUUGAGCUCCUGUCCAAGAGGCAAAGGAAGAAGUUGUUGAAGCAGAAACAGUGGGAAGAACAGAAAGAUCUACGGAGGCAGAAACGAAAAGAAAAACGCCAGAAGAGAAAACAAGAACGUCAGUCAAAAUUGGACUUCAGUAAUGAAGGGAAUGACAGAAAGCGUGUGCGAAGGGAAGGUGUUCCUAGUACACUUCGCCUGAUUGUGGACUGCAGCUUUGAUGACCUGAUGGUGCUAAAGGAUGUUAAGAAGCUUCACAAGCAAAUUCAGAGAUGUUAUGCAGAAAACCGCAAAGCAUUUCAUCCUGUGCAGUUUUACUUGACCAGCCAUGGGGGACAGUUGAAGAGCAACAUGAAUGAAAGUAACAAAGGAUGGGUGAACUGGAAGGAUAUUCAAAUUAGAACAGAGCACUAUACUGAGCUAAUAAAGAAAGAAGACCUAGUAUAUCUUACCUCGGACUCCCCAGAUAUUCUCAGUGAGCUCGAUGAGAAGAAAGCCUAUGUCAUUGGAGGACUGGUGGAUCACAACCACCACAAGGGAAUUACUUACAAAAAGGCUGUAGAGCAGGGAAUUAGUCAUGCACAGCUCCCCCUUGGAAACUUUGUCAGGAUGAACAGUCGGAAAGUGUUAGCUGUCAAUCAUGUGUUUGAGAUCAUCCUUGCAUACCUGGAGAAGAGAGACUGGAAGGAGGCCUUUUUCAGUGUCUUGCCACAGCGGAAAGGGGCUGUUCCUUUGGAAGAAGCCAGUGGUUCAUCCAAAUGUACUCUGCCUGGAAAAGAAGAUGAAGACAAUGACUCGGAGAACAGCUAGGCUUCAAAAUGAGAUUAUGGGAAAGAUGAGACACACAGUUCAUGAGAUAGAACCAGGACAUGAAGUAGUUACAUUCUGAAGACUGUCUCCUGCCCUCGUGAAUUGUCUCAGUGCUCUGUAGUUCCAUAGUUGACCCAGAGCUUUUUCAGGACACAAAGGGGAUCUCUGGUCAGAAGUCAGUGAGCUGCUGAACCACUGCUCUUCUUUUCUCUGUGGGUAGGCAUCGCCAAUCUAUGAAUGGCCCAGGAAUCAAAAUGUGGUUGGCAUAAGGUUCUAAGGUUGGCAUAAGGUAAGUGCAUAGGGAAAGCAAAAGUGGGCUAACUGCUCUUAAGAAACAGCAGUUUACUGAGUGUGGCUACAUGGCACUAUCUGUCCAUGAGUUAUUUUGCAGCCAAACCACAGUAAACACAGUUUGAAGAACUGGGUUCCGAAUGUACAAGUGAACAGUAAAAAUAAAGCAUAGCCCUUUACUGUAUGCCCUGCUCAGCAAUCAAAGAACAACAUCUCAACAGACACCCACCUCCCAGUUACAAUGCAAUAGUUGGGAGAAAAGUGGGUCUGUAUUUUUAGCAUCUUUACUGCAAAACACCUUCGUAAUGCCCUUUGCUGUCCAGCACCAGUGCAUCAAGACUUGCAUUCCUUUUUCUCAAGGGUGCGCAAUCUUCCCUGUGAUAAGUGUUUGGAAUGGAAUACUAACUUACCCCUCAGAUCUCGUACAAUCACAAGAGAGGAGAUGAGUAAUUACCAGCAUGUGACUAAAGAAUUACUGCAGAAAGAUUCUUUUCUCAGAAGAAGCAUCAGCUUUUUCCAGGAAAGCAGAGCUGCAAAGUGACAAAAUGGCACCAGCAAAAGUAAAACUGUUGGCAGUGAAGAAAUGUUACUCCAAAUCCUUUCAGCAACAUCUGCACAUCCUUCUGGAAACCGACAUGCAGAGUGUCUUCUCAAGUUGAAAACCAGAAAGGCCAUAAGAUACACUUUAUGUUAUAUUGGGCCCUGGGGCAUUUUUACCUAUAAAAAUUCACAAGAGAUAUUGAGAGAUCUCUAAAGGACUGUAUUUCUUUCCUUUUUGUUUUGCUUUUACUACCUCACAUAGUACAGUAGUGCAACUAUUUGCUGACAUGCAUAAUAAUCUGAAGAAAAUCUUGGAAGGUGUAUUUCAUAGAUGCAUGCUUCUAGUGUUGUGUAACUACUAUUGCAGAAUGUUCCUCUGUGCCUAUGGAUGUGGGAAGAGCACUAGAGAGCCAGAGUUAAUAGAAAAUACCCACACCUUUGCUACAUGUAAGAGACAGCAGGGCAUUGUUGGAAGGAGGAAUUCAAGAAAUUCAAAGGAUGUGGGAGGAACUGCAAGGUAGAAUUCUUUGGUGCUGCUGUUCAGUUAAUUGUUGCAUCAGCUGUGAUAACAAAAUGUCUUCUUGGAGACCACGACUGUCUGCCUCAGUAAUUUGUGGACAACGCCAGGUUGGGUGGGAAUGUUGAUCUGUUGUAGGAUAGGAAGGCUCUGCAGAGGGGUCUGGAAAGGCUGGAUCAAUGGGCUGUGGCAAAUUAUACGAGGUUCAACAAGGCGAAGUGCCAAGUCAUGCACUUUGGUCAUGACAGCCCCAUGCAAUACCACAGCCUUGGGAAAGAGUGUCUGGAAAGCUGCUCGGUGGAAAAGGACCUGGGGGUGUUGGUCAACAGCCAGAUGAACAUGAGCCAGCUUGUGCCACGUGGCCAAGGCCAGUGGUAUUCUGGCUUGUACCUGCCUGAGUUUACAUACAUCUGCAGUAUUUCUCCCUACUUCCUAUUCCUGUACCCCUCUUGAAUUAAUUAUUCAUACAGGUGAACCUGAGAGAGCACUGUGUUUACUAAGUGCUAGUCAGGUUAUAUAGAAUCAUAAAAUAUGAUUCUAUAUGCACUGUUUAAUCUCUAUUUAAUCUUUAUAUGCAGUAUUUAAUCUCUUUUUUGCUUCUUUCUGAAGGAAGAAUCUUGUUUUCAGAAUGCUGGGCUAUAUUUGGUUUGCCUGUCAAGGUUUGGGCAGUGGGGGAGCUACGGGAGUGGUUUCUGUGAGAAGCUGCCAGAAGCUUUCUCAUGUCCAGUGAAGCUAAUGCCAGCUGGAUCCAAGAAGGACCCACUGCUGGCCCAGGCUGAGCCUGUCAGCGAGAGUGGUAACAACUCUGGGAUAACAUAUUUCAGAAAGGGAGAAAGUUACUGCACAAGAGCGGAUGCAGCCAGAGAGAGGAUUGAGAAUUUAUGAGCAAAACAGCUCUGCAGAUAGCAAGGUCAGUGCAGAAGGUGAAAGUGCACUAGGUGCUGAAGCAGAGGUUCCCCUGCAGCCCAUGGAGGUCCAUGGUGGAGCAGAUACCCACCUGCAGCUUGGGGAAGCCCCCAUGCCAGAGCAGGGGGAUGCCUAAAGGAGGUAGUGACCCUGCUGAGAUGCCUGUGCUGGAACAGGCUCCUGGCAGGGCAUGUGGCCCUGUGGAGGUUGGAGCUGAGCUGGAGCUGAUUUGCUGCAGGACUUGUGACCCUGCAGGUGGACCCACGCUGGAGCAGU